GAUGUUGCCUUCUGGUGACAAGGACUGGCACCCAGGCUGCCUGUUCCCUGGUGCCCCCUGUGCUGGACUGCUGUAGAGACCUGGCUGAGGCAGCACCAUGCCCUCUGGCCUUGUUCUGCUGCUUGGACUGAGUGAGCACUGCAAGGAAGUGAGUGUCUGCCCUGGAGCAGAGGAUCUGGGCCCACAGUGGGUUACACUCCCAGCCCUCUAUCUGGGCAGUGCCAGGAGCUGUGAUGCCCAAUGGUAGUUCUGUGACCAUCUUCUGAAGGGUCCCUCCAGGGGUGACAAGGUUGUAUCUCUUUCGUGGGGAACCCAGUGACAUGUGGCAUGAUGUCAACUCUGAAGGAGCCCAAGGCAUUUACAAGGACAAACCCUCCCUGACUGCUCACCCAGGGCUCCAGGUGGUGGCAGGAGGGAACAUGAAGCUCCUGUGUGAGACACCUCACUUUUAUGAUGACUUCAUUCUCUGCAGAGACAGAGGUGCUUCCUUUCUCCAGGACUGUUCACACCAGGCCCAUGGCUCAUUCCUCAUCUCCUCGGUGAGCCUGGCUGAAGGUGGGACCUACAGGUGCUUAUGUCUCAGAGAGUAUAUGGCUCCCUCUGGUCCCUGCCCAGCGACCCUCUUGACCUUUCCUUCACAGAUAGAAUAUAAAGGGUGAAGAAAGAAGCUGCCAAGGCCCUUUUGUUUGCUUGCCAUGAACUCUUUCUCUUCUAUGAUGCCCCCCUGCAAAGCCACCCUGCUUUGGAACCAGCCAACUGUGGAUUGAAACCUCUGCAAAUGAUUACAGGGUGGAGAGUGUCAUCCAGUUAAGCCUGGUUGCCCUUGUCCUCUUAGUCCUUGUGGCUUUGUUGGUGGAUACCUGGAAGAACAGAAGAGGCCUGUAAGAUGCAGCCAGCAAGCCCAGCCUGGGAGACCUGCAACUCUUCCUAGUCCACAUCAAAGUGCUGAAACAGAAUCUUCAAGGACAAGGGAUCCAUUGAUUUUGUGUUCAAUGUUUCAGGAUGGCACAGAGCCCCGUAAUUCUUUUGAUAUUUUUAGUUUUUUUAAUUUUUAUCUUUUAUUACCCUGUGUUUGCAGUACACAAUGCUUACACUUCCUGUGAUGAGUUGGUACAUGAACACAAGACAUCUUAAUUCCUAUUUCAUCCCCUCUCCUUCCCUCUCCCAGCUCUCUAUCUCCUCCCACUUGGCAACAGCUGUAGCUCCUCUUUCCUAGUAUCUAUAUUUUAUUUUCUCUUUAUUUAUUAGCACAUUCUUUUCAGAUUUCAUAAUAGUUUGGAGGUACAGUUCUCCAUACACCACAAUGUUUAUCUUGUUUUUCGUUUAGCUUGGGUCUGAUAAUGUUCUCUGAGGCCUGUUUCUCAUUCCUGCUUCAGUCUAUGACUUUUUCUACAAAACUCUAUUCUCAUUCUUCUUUCCAAUUUUCUAUACUUCAUCCAUUCAGAUCUCUCACCCUAGUCUUCUCUUAUUGCACCUUCCCCCAGGAUGCUGGGACUCCACCCUCUUUCAGCUUCAGGUUUGCAAGAAUCCAGCUCCAGCAUUAGGCACAGAACUGACACACAGACCCUGUGUCCCUGCAUUGAUGAGGUAUGGGCCUCUCUCUCGAGGAAGAGCAGGACUCACCUAGUGUUGGUUCUGCUGCAGUGGAACCUCCUGGUGUUCAAUGGUGUUCAAUGUGUGUCAUACACACACUUGUCCUCAGUGGUUGUGAAAUUAAAGUGUGAACUUUUCCGGGUUUAUGCAAACCAUGUUAGGAAAAUUAUACAUAAUCCAUCUCUUAUACCAUAACCUUACCUGCUUUUUUAAAAGUUGUGCUUGACAUUGGUCCUUCCACAAUUCAUGACUUUUAAAUAAGAGGAAAUUUCCCUAAGCAUCUUUUUCUAUUCUUCACAUUGUAGAAUUGUAUUCUUCACAUUUCUAUUCUUCACAUUCUAUUCUUCAUCAGUAAGAAAGGGAGAGUGACAUUAAAAACAUCUGUAGUCUUGGAGGAUGGGUUCUCCACGCAGCAGAGCCUUCAUCCUCUGUCUUCUGGCUCCUCUCUGAUGUUCUUCUCGGGUAUCUGUUCUCAUUUCCACACUUGUCUGAGUGGUUUUUCUCCCUGCACAUCUGUUUUUCUCUUCCUGUUUCCCAGUCUUCUGUCCCUCAUUCUCUCACUGUGGCCUUUCUUUAAUCUACCCAAGCCCUGUGACCCCAGCACAGUGUCUUGGCCAGAGUUGCCAUGCAUCCUUUCCCACUUGUGCUCCUCCACUGCACUCCAGCUCUGAGACUACCAAUGUUCCCCUCCUGAGUGCACAGCUGGUGAGCAAGUGGACCUUGCUGUGCUUGGGACAGGAGUUUCAGAGAUUCUCUGGGAGGCUGGUGUGGGAUGCAUCUCAGCACUUCCCACUAUGACCCACUGGACUCCCUGUGUGCUCUUGUGAGAAGAUCCCUGUGUGUGCCACUGCAGUGACAAGCAGGUGGUCUCAUCACAGAUUCAGGGUGCUGUGUAAGUGACUUAUGAUGUAAGACACCAAAUGUGGGGGUUAUGGAAGGAAAUAAUCAGGUGAAUCCUAGUAGAGUCUUCUUCAAUAAAUAAUUUAAUGUUCAA